GAUGAACGCUAGCUACAGGCUUAACACAUGCAAGUCGAGGGGAAACGACAUCGAAAGCUUGCUUUUGAUGGGCGUCGACCGGCGCACGGGUGAGUAACGCGUAUCCAACCUGCCCAUCACUUGGGAAUAACCUUGCGAAAGUAAGACUAAUACCCAAUGACAUCCCACGAAGACAUCUGAAUGGGAUUAAAGAUUUAUCGGUGAUGGAUGGGGAUGCGUCUGAUUAGCUUGUUGGCGGGGUAACGGCCCACCAAGGCAACGAUCAGUAGGGGUUCUGAGAGGACGGUCCCCCACAUUGGAACUGAGACACGGUCCAAACUCCUACGGGAGGCAGCAGUGAGGAAUAUUGGUCAAUGGGCGAGAGCCUGAACCAGCCAAGUAGCGUGCAGGAUGACGGCCCUAUGGGUUGUAAACUGCUUUUAUAAGGGAAUAAAGUGGGUCUCGGGAGACUUUUUGCAUGUACCUUAUGAAUAAGGACCGGCUAAUUCCGUG
rnacentral:rRNA from 1 species